GACAAAAGUACAAAAAACUAAAAUAUUAUUAACUUAAUAAAAUCAUCCACUACAUAAUCAUUCAUUAUCUUUAUAAUUAACCAUCUAAAGCUACCACAGUUCUUCAAUCAAAGUAUAUAUCUACAUAUAUAGAGAGUACACUUCAUAAUUUCGUCCCUUGUCUUCCGUAAACGUAGCACGAAAAUUUGAUACCCAAUAUUGUAAGGCAGGUCGUAGAAGUAGCCUUCCUGCACAUUUAAAAAUAAUAGCAAGUCAGAAAAAUGAAGCAAAUAGGUCACCAGAGGCACUUAGUGCCAUAAUCAAUAAACAAAGACAAUAGAGUUGCUACGUGGUACAAUGUCAAGGCUUGGCUCCUAUUUCAUAAUACUUUAGAAUACCACCAAUUUCUUGUUCAAUUUGAGUGACUAAACAAUAAAUAUGGUUGGCACAUCAAUGCAUAAUCACUCUCCAACCUGGUUAUAGCACUAUUUGAUACUUCAUAACAAAGAAUCAAAGAGAACACUGAAAACAUACUAAGANN
rnacentral:lncRNA from 1 species